rnacentral:rRNA from 1 species
AUGGCGUGGAGGCGACUGGCGAGCGGCGCCGCCGCGGCGCAUCUCCGGCGGGGCGGCCUCUCUCCCCACUUCGCCCCCGCCCGCACCUUCUCCGCCCUCUGCGGCCCUCCCGCCGCCAGCCCUACCCUUCCCGUCAGGCACGCGUUGCAGGGCAUCUGGUCGCGGUGUUCGAGCUCGACCCCCGCGUUUCAGGCUCGCGCCCCCAUGCUCCGAGCUCUGCUGGCCGCGAGGGUGUCCCCCGGAGUUCGUCCGAAGCUUCCAGGUUUGCUGAGGGGAUUUGGGACCGGGGGCACCGCAAUUGCUGUGAUGCUUUAUCCCACAAAGGUUGCUGAGGCACAAGAGCGACCGACAAAGAGCCCAUCAGAAGAUAUCACUGUGCUCUCACCAUAUGCGAAACAAGUUCUUAGGAAAUUCUGGAAUUUGGUCAGAAAAUUUCAGCUGCCUAUCGGUUUGAUUCUUUUGAUUGUGUAUGGUUGGCGGAAACCAAUGGUUCUUGCCAUCAACACAUUGCUUCUUCUCUACUCUACAAGGCCGGACCCCUAUUCCAUAUAUUUGUUUCUUCAGGAGGUUAGUUCAAUGAUUAUGGCAUCUUAUAAUUAA